AUACGGAGGGUGCGAGCGUUAAUCGGAAUUACUGGGCGUAAAGCGUGCGUAGGCGGUUUGCUAAGUCAGAUGUGAAAGCCCCGGGCUUAACCUGGGAACUGCAUUUGAUACUGGCAGACUAGAGUAUGAUAGAGGGGGGUAGAAUUCCUGGUGUAGCGGUGAAAUGCGUAGAUAUCAGGAGGAAUACCAGUGGCGAAGGCGGCCCCCUGGAUCAAUACUGACGCUGAGGUACGAAAGCGCGGGGAGCGAACAGGAUUAGAAACCCUAGUAGUCC
rnacentral:rRNA from 1 species